ensembl:lincRNA Gm15322 predicted gene 15322
UUUUGAGAGAGGACUUUGGACUAGAAGAUAUGUCUGAGAAUAAGGACAAUAAAGUAGACACAAAUGGUGCCUCUGAUUGGCCAUCCUACUUGUUAACAUCUUUCACCACAUGGCAAUGAACAUGGAGAAAAGAAGAAGGAGCAGAUGGUUUGGUCUGUGGAGAAAGGAGUUACCUAUUCUUCCCCUUCAUUGCUUUCUGAUCUCUCUUGUCUGCCACACCUGGCACAUGUGAAGAGAAAGAAGCCUUAGCAAGCUACCAAGAAGGUAGAGGAAGACUUCCUUUAUCCUCAGACAGCCUGUGGGCCCCGUGGCCUAUAGUAACUCUGGAGUAGAGGGUAGGUGCUCACUGAGGCUGGAGUGAGAGAGGGUACAGACUGUUAUUGGCUAGCAGUCUGUAGGAGGGUAGGCCCUGAGCCGUCACUAUUGCAGUGGCCUCUGGAGUGGGACUUUAAGGUCCUGAGUCAUUAGAAGUCUCGUCUUCAGGGAGGUACUGGCUUGAUGCUCCUCACACCUGACCUAAGGAGUCUUCCAUUCAACAGCUCCAGGUGACUGGCCACCAUCCAGGAAGGAGCCCAUUGAAAAGAAGCGAAAUGAAAUGGCAAGGACACUGAAUGGCUGAGUGGCAAUGCCAAGGUUUCGGCUGAAGUCUGUCUGGUUAUAAACCCUUUGAAAUCCAGCUCUGCAAAGCAGGGCACUGUGGGAACUAUUAGGACCUUUUAUAACAAGGUGGGUAACAGGGCG